AGGAGCCACACUGAACCUUCUGGCUCCAGAUUCAGAGUCACUAGCCCCUUCUUUACACCUUCAAGAAGUGCAAAAUGUGCACUUGGGAAGCUCAGGAAUGCCUCAAGGUCUGUGUGUCUGGUGUGGGCCUACGUGGAAUAUCUCCAUCUCUGAGGAAGACGCCUCUAUCGAUGGAGCGUUGGCAUCCCAGAGGAGGGCACCGCUCUGCUCAUGCCCUUCUCAAGGUGAUGUGUGAGCGCCUUCCAGAAGCUCAGAUCCGCUCAGGGAGGUGGACACUUGAAGGAAUGGAACAAGGCACUCUUUUGUAGCUCUCGAUUGAAGCAGUUGAGUCACUUUUGUCAGAGACACAGGGCAAAUAGGUUUAUCUCUUGGACCACAAGUGCUGGAUGAGAGGGGAUGAAGACAUAAAGCCAUGGCACAGUGAGAUGAUGAUCUUCAGGCUUGAUACACAACUUUAGCAAUAAAAGGAAGUGUCUGAUGGCUGGGGAAGCA
rnacentral:lncRNA from 14 species